rnacentral:lncRNA from 1 species
CAGGUGAUAUUAUGGAGACAUGUCUGAACCAUCAUUAGGGCCCCUGUGGGUGUCAUAAUUCAGCAGCCCUCAGGGACUGUGAAUGAUCACUGGUAUCCCAGAAGCUUUCAACAGAGGGUAACAGGUGCUAAGUCCUGAGAAUAUGGAAUGAAGAGUUACUGCCAUGGCCUUUGACAGCAUUGUGUAGUUGGGAAGGCCCAUCUCACACAGAGAAUGACACAGGAAUGACACAGGAAAAGCAACAGCCACCAACCGUACCCAAGGAGGACUGAGAGACCUGGUGUGACCCACAGCUGCAACAUUGUAGUCAUAUUGUCAACAUGGAUACCUGGCUCCAGGAGGCAGCACCAAGAGGCCAUCAGAGAAAUCUCAACCUUGGGAUUUGGGGGAAAGAGAAAUAGUGAAAGGAGGUUACAUUUUAGUAUGUGUUGAUGAUGUGUAUGGGAUGAAAGCAUGAGCAGAAAUAGGGGAAUGUCUUGUGAUAAUUAUCCCAGCUGUCAGAUACAAAAACAUCUGAACACAACACGUUAGUGGCCACACCCCUUUGGGCGUGGCUUCUGAUGCAGGAACUGGAAGGUAGGGAAGACUGGGGCAGGCUCUGUUGGGUCGAGAAUCAGAUCCAGAGGGCAGAGACUCCAUCUUCUGGAGCAGAA